GCUUGNCCGUAANCACAGACAAUGUAAACACAACAUUGUUCGCCAGAGAACUACAAAUGAAAAGCUCGAAACUCCAAGGACUUGGCGGUGCUCCACAUCUACCUAGAGGAGCCUGUCCUAUAAUCGAUACCCCACGUUAAACCCUACCACCCAUAGCCAACAGCCUAUAUACCGCCGUCGCAAGCCUACCUUAUGAAAGCAAAACAGUAAGCAAAACAGUUAAUAACUAAUACGUCAGGUCAAGGUGUAGCAAAUGGGGUGGAAGAGAUGGGCUACAUUUUCUACCUCAGAACACACAAACGGAACAAUGAAACACGUACCCGAAGGUGGAUUUAGCAGUAAGAUAAACAAGAAAUGGUAUCUUAAGCCCGCUCUGGAGCGCGCACAC
rnacentral:rRNA from 1 species